ACAAAUCGAAACUUACAUAAGAAUCAUUCCGUAAUCAUUUCUCCCCGAGAAUUUUCUUCGCAAAUUUCGUGGUCUCACUCGCAAAAGCUAAUUUCAUUGUAAAAAAAAAUGGCUGGUGGAGGUGCAGAUAAUCCUAACCUAAAAGGUUUAUCCCGAAUUUUCAAUUCUGAAACCAAUUUCGGGCGUCAAAACUGCGCCAAAGCAACAUUCGCUGCAAUGGCUCUCAUCGCUUUAUACCUUAAAUUCAAGCCAAAGAAAGAAGCAAAGUAGAUGUCUACCACCAUUAGUCGCACGGAGAUUCAAUUUUUUUUUAGUUUAGUUACAUCAAAAAACAAAUCAAGAAUAUUCAGUACGGAAUUUCAGUUAAAUUAGCGGAAAGCAUUAAAAAAAUCGUAAACUAUGGAAUCAUUUGUUGUUGAUUUCACAUUUUUUUUCAUCAUUAUCGAUGUGAACAAGAAAUUGUAAACACUUUGCUUCUGUUCAAUUCAACACUAAAAUAAAAA